rnacentral:rRNA from 1 species
CCUACGGGCGGCAGCAGUGGGGAAUAUUGGACAAUGGGGGGAACCCUGAUCCAGCCAUGCCGCGUGUGUGAAGAAGGCCCUCGGGUUGUAAAGCACUUUCAGUGAGGAAGAACGCCUGGUGGUUAAUACCCAUCAGGAAAGACAUCACUCACAGAAGAAGCACCGGCUAACUCCGUGCCAGCAGCCGCGGUAAUACGGAGGGUGCGAGCGUUAAUCGGAAUUACUGGGCGUAAAGCGCGCGUAGGUGGCUUGAUAAGCCGGUUGUGAAAGCCCCGGGCUCAACCUGGGAACGGCAUCUGGAACUGUCAAGCUAGAGUGCAGGAGAGGAAGGUAGAAUUCCCGGUGUAGCGGUGAAAUGCGUAGAGAUCGGGAGGAAUACCAGUGGCGAAGGCGGCCUUCUGGACUGACACUGACACUGAGGUGCGAAAGCGUGGGUAGCAAACAGGAUUAGAUACCCUAGUAGUC